rnacentral:rRNA from 1 species
UUUAAAGAGUGCGUAAUAGCUCACUGGUCGAGAGUCUCUGCGCCGACAAUGUAACGGGGCUAAGAUAUAAACCGAAGCUGUGGAAUGUGCCUUAUGGCAUAUUGGUAGGAGAGCGUUGUGUAGGCCGGUGAAGGUGUACCGAAAGGAGCACUGGAGGUAUCACAAGUGAGAAUGCAGGAAUGAGUAGCGAAAAAGAGGGUGAGAAUCCCUCUCGUCGGAAGUCCAAGGUUUCCAGGGCAAUGCUUGUCAUCCCUGGGGAAGUCGGGACCUAAGUUGAGGCUGAGAAGCGUAGGCGAAUGGAAAACAGGUUAAUAUUCCUGUACCAGUUAUGUUUUGUGAUGGAGGGACGCAGAAGGGUAGAUACGCUAGGCGACGGUUGUCCUAGUGCAAGCAUGUAGUGUGGUCAGAUAGGAAAAUCCGUUUGAUUAGACAUGAGGUGUGAUGCGGAGCACGUAAGUGCGGAAGGUAUUGAUCCCACGCUGCCAAGAAAAGCUUCUAACGUUAAGACAUAACUGCCCGUACUGUAAACCGACACAGGUGGACAGCGUGAGAAACGUAAGGCGGACAGGCUAACUCUCGCUAAGGAACUCUGCAAAAUGGCCCCGUAACUUCGGGAGAAGGGGUGCCUUUGAUGGUGAUGGUUCACGCAACCUGAGCUGUCGGAGGCCGCAGUGAAAAGACUCAAGCGACUGUUUAACAAAAACACAGGUCUAUGCUAAGCUGAAAGGCGAUGUAUAUGGGCUGACACCUGCCCAGUGCCGGAAGGUUAAGAGGAGGAGUGAGAGCUCCGAAUUGAAGCCCCGGUGAACGGCGGCCGUAACUAUAACGGUCCUAAGGUAGCGAAAUUCCUUGUCGGGUAAGUUCCGACCUGCACGAAUGGUGUAACGAUUUGAGUGCUGUCUUGGCGGGAGGCCUGGUGAAGUUGUAUUAUGGGUGAAGAUACCCAUUACCUGCAGCAGGACGGAAAGACCCCAUGGAGCUUUACUGUAGCUUGGUAUUGGGUCUUGAUGCUGUGUGUAUAGGAUAGUUGGGAGACUUUGAUUGUAGGCCGCCAGGUUUACAUGAGUCGUUGGUGGAAUACCAACCACGCAGUAUCGGGAUUCUAAUCUGGUGUGUGUAACACUGGAGACAGUGCUAGGUGGGCAGUUUGACUGGGGCGGUCGCCUCCGAAAGAGUAACGGAGGCGUUCAAAGGUUCCCUCAGGUUGGAUGGAAAUCAACCGCAGAGUGCAAAGGCAUAAGGGAGCUUGACUGCAAGACUGACAAGUCGAGCAGGUGCGAAAGCAGGACUUAGUGAUCCGGCGAUUCCGAAUGGAAGGGUCGUCGCUCAACGGAUAAAAGCUACCCUGGGGAUAACAGGCUGAU